GGAUGGCUGAGCCUGGUACAGAAGAAGGAUGUUUGUUGGCCUGCGGAUUGCAGUGGGCUUUUUGAAAACUGGGCUUCCAUUGUUUGGUGCACAGGAAGAACUUGUUGUGGGACCAAGCACAAUGGACCCUCAUACUGGCCCCAAGGUCACUGCCCACAGCUCUAUGUUGGCUUUAUAAUACAGGAAAGGGUCUUUAAAGUGCGUUUCAUUCACAUUGAUAUCGUCCUAAACCCUGCUCUGUGGGAUUUGGCUAUUGUUUUGGUGUGUACAGUACACCAUUGUGAAGGAGGCAAUAGGCACUUACAGGGCAGAACACGUAUAUGUUUCAUUCUUUGCUGUCAUUGUGUAAGUGGUUCUCAUUAGCUUACAUCAAUUCUUUAAUUACAAUUUUCAUUAAUCGCCCACAGCUCCCUCAGCAAACCAUGAAGAUAAAUCCAUUUCAUUGAGGCACUGAUAAAAAUCAAUUCAGGUGCCAUAAUUUAAAUCAGAUCAACUGAAGAACCAUAUCUCUCUCUAUAUAUAUGCAUAUAUUUUAUGCAUUAGAUAGAUAGGGUAUUAGUUUUUCAUUUUAGAAUACUUUUUCCUCUGCAAUGCCAGACAGCAUUCCAAAGAACACAUCCAGACUCUCUCAGGCCCGUAUUAUCUGAUCGGGUUCAGACUGAAUUUCAGCAUUUUGUCAGCAUGUAAGUUUUUCCUGCCAGAUCUUCUUUCAGUUCACCUUGCUGGGUUGUCCUUGGACUGACUGCUAAAGCAUCAUGUAGUGCGUCUCACUGCAGUUUCAGAAGUAGGUUGGACCCAUUUUCACACAAGGAGCUGCAAGAAUUCACUGAUUGCCGUCUUUCACCUUUAUAGGAGGGAGAUAUAUGGAUGCUGUACUAUGGAAUAUAAAAGUGAGAGAAUUAAAAGGAGAGUUCACCCAAAAAUUGAUGGGCUGUUGUUACUUAAUUACUUACUCAUUAAACCCAUCAAAGCUUUGUUGCCA
ensembl:lncRNA